UGCGCAGGCGGUUAUAUAAGACAGAUGUGAAAUCCCCGGGCUCAACCUGGGAACUGCAUUAGUGACUGUAUAGCUAGAGUGCGGCAGAGGGGGAUGGAAUUCCGCGUGUAGCAGUGAAAUGCGUAGAUAUGCGGAGGAACACCGAUGGCGAAGGCAAUCCCCUGGGCCUGCACUGACGCUCAUGCACGAAAGCGUGGGGAGCAAACAGGAUUAGAUACCCUGGUAGUCCACGCCCUAAACGAUGUCAACUGGUUGUUGGGAAUUCACUUUCUCAGUAACGAAGCUAACGCGUGAAGUUGACCGCCUGGGGAGUACGGCCGCAAGGUUAAA
rnacentral:rRNA from 1 species